rnacentral:rRNA from 1 species
GACGAACGUUGGCGGCGUGCUUAAUACAUGCAAGUCAACUGAAGCAGUGGUAGCAAUAUCGCUGUGGAGGUGGCGCACGGGUGAGUAACACGUAGGUAAUCUGCCUUCAGGUCUGGCAUAACUCCGGGAAACCGGGGCUAAUAGCAGAUGAUGCAGCGGCUCGACAUCGAGACAGUUGUUAAAGCUAUGGCGCCUGAAGAUGAGCCUGCGUCUGAUUAGCUAGUUGGCGGGGUAACGGCCCACCAAGGCAACGAUCAGUAGCUGGUCUGAGAGGAUGAUCAGGCACACUGGAACUGAGACACGGUCCAGACUACUACGGGAGGCAGCAGUAAGGAAUAUUGCUCAAUGGGAGAAAGCCUGAAGCAGCAUCGCCGCGGGAGGGACGAAGGGCGUUAGCUUGUAAACCUCUGUAGUGAGAGAAAAAAAUCCCAAUCUUUGGGACAUGAUGGUAUCUAAAAAGUAAGCCCCGGCUAACUACGUG